UACCGUUUUGAUGCAAUAUGCAUUCUACGAAACUUUUUUCAACGAUCCAACCGUCAAACUUAUUUGUACACAUUCCGAGAUUGCAAACGUAAAAAAUUGUAAAAAACAAACAUUCAGAGAUUACAUAACGGAACAAAAGUUUUCGACGGUUAUAAACGAAAAAUCACAAUUUAACGGUUAUUUUAGCUCCGAUUUUGAUGAUUUUGUACAUAUACACUCCUCGACCCUAUAAGAAUGUAAAGAAUAAAUUUGAUCUUUAAUUUAAAGUAUUUACAUUUUUUAUAUAUGAGUGAUUGUAUAUAUAUUUUUUUACAUUUUUUACACUUCUACAAUAAUUAUUAUUAAUUUUAUUAAUUUUGCCCUAAAAUAAAAAACAUUAUUCAUGAGGGUUUGAAGGAUUUUAAAAAUCUAAACGAUAAUAUAAGUGUAACAAUUAUCUAUUCGUGAAGGAAUAAUGAUAAAUCAUGAGUGUUUAUAUAUUCUUUCACAUUUU
rnacentral:lncRNA from 1 species